rnacentral:rRNA from 1 species
GGCGGGGGAGCACAACAACGGGUGGAGCCUGCGGUUUAAUUGGACUCAACGCCGGACAACUCACCGGGGACGACAGCAAUAUGUAGGUCAGGCUGAAGACCUUACCUGAAUCGCUGAGAGGAGGUGCAUGGCCGUCGCCAGUUCGUACUGUGAAGCAUCCUGUUAAGUCAGGCAACGAGCGAGACCCGUGCCCACUGUUACCAGCAUAUCCUCCGGGAUGAUGGGUACUCUGUGGGGACCGCCGGUGUUAAAUCGGAGGAAGGUGCGGGCCACGGUAGGUCAGUAUGCCCCGAAUUUCCCGGGCUACACGCGGGCUACAAUGAAUGGGACAAUGGGUCCCUCCCCUGAAAAGGGCUGGUAAUCUCACAAACCCAUCCUUAGUUCGGAUCGAGGGCUGUAACUCGCCCUCGUGAAGCUGGAAUCCGUAGUAAUCGCGUUUUAAUAUAGCGCGGUGAAUACGUUCCUGCUCCUUGCACACACCG